CACGGGGGGAGCAAGCGUUGUUCGGAAUUACUGGGUGUAAAGGGUUCGUAGGCGGUGCGGCAAGUUGGGAGUGAAAUCUCUGGGCUUAACCCAGAGGCUGCUUCCAAAACUGCUGUGCUUGAGUGUGGGAGAGGCGCGUGGAAUUGCAGGUGUAGCGGUGAAAUGCGUAGAUAUCGUAAGGAAGACCAGUGGCGAAGGCGGGUCUCUGGACAGUUCCUGACGCUGAGGCACGAAGGCCAGGGGAGCAAACGGG
rnacentral:rRNA from 1 species